rnacentral:rRNA from 1 species
AUUGAACGCUGGCGGCAGGCUUAACACAUGCAAGUCGAGCGGGGGAAGGUAGCUUGCUACCGGACCUAGCGGCGGACGGGUGAGUAAUGCUUAGGAAUCUGCCUAUUAGUGGGGGACAACAUCUCGAAAGGGAUGCUAAUACCGCAUACGUCCUACGGGAGAAAGCAGGGGAUCUUCGGACCUUGCGCUAAUAGAUGAGCCUAAGUCGGAUUAGCUAGUUGGUGGGGUAAAGGCCUACCAAGGCGACGAUCUGUAGCGGGUCUGAGAGGAUGAUCCGCCAAACUGGGACUGAGACACGGACCAGAAUCCUACGGGAGGCAGCAGUGGGGAAUAUUGGACAAUGGGGGGAACCCUGAUCCAGCCAUGCCGCGUGUGUGAAGAAGGCCUUAUGGUUGUAAAGCACUUUAAGCGAGGAGGAGGCUACUUUAGUUAAUACCUAGAGAUAGUGGACGUUACUCGCAGAAUAAGCACCGGCUAACUCUGUGCCAGCAGCCGCGGUAAUAC